rnacentral:rRNA from 1 species
UACGUAGGUGCAGCGUUAUCCGAAUUAUUGGGCGUAAAGCGCUCGCAGGCGGUUUCUUAAGUCUGAUGUGAAAGCCCACGGCUCAACCGUGGAGGGUCAUUGGAAACUGGGAGACUUGAGUGCAGAAGAGGAGAGUGGAAUUCCACGUGUAGCGGUGAAAUGCGUAGAGAUGUGGAGGAACACCAGUGGCGAAGGCGAACUCUCUGGUCUGUAACUGACGCUGAGGAGCGAAAGCGUGGGGAGCAAACAGG